rnacentral:rRNA from 1 species
GAUGAACGCUGGCGGCGUGCCUAAUACAUGCAAGUCGAGCGAAUGGAUUAAGAGCUUGCUCUUAUGAAGUUAGCGGCGGACGGGUGAGUAACACGUGGGUAACCUGCCCAUAAGACUGGGAUAACUCCGGGAAACCGGGGCUAAUACCGGAUAACAUUUUGAACCGCAUGGUUCGAAAUUGAAAGGCGGCUUCGGCUGUCACUUAUGGAUGGACCCGCGUCGCAUUAGCUAGUUGGUGAGGUAACGGCUCACCAAGGCAAAGAUGCGUAGCCGACCUGACAGGGUGAUCGGCCACACUGGGACUGAGACACGGCCCAGACUCCUACGGGAGGUAGCAGUAGGGAAUCUUCCGCAAUGGACGAAAGUCUGACGGAGCAACGCCGCGUGAGUGAUGAAGGCUUUCGGGUCGUAAAACUCUGUUGUUAGGGAAGAACAAGUGCUAGUUGAAUAAGCUGGCACCUUGACGGUACCUAACCAGAAAGCCACGGCUAACUACGUGCCAGCCGCCGCGGUAA